rnacentral:lncRNA from 1 species
AGAGGACAAUGAUUAUUUUCCAAUUUUUAUUUAUCUUGUACUUUGAAUAAUUAUGCUUCAUUGGUAAAUUGGUAAAAAAGAUUAUGCAACUUAGAUUAAAUUAAAUUUAUCUGAGGAUUAUAAAAGCGGGGCAAUUUUUCCCGAAAGAGAACUUCAUUUGUUACAUCUUUGGAAAACAAAUCAUUAAAAAACAAGUGUCAUAUAAACUAUAAGAAAUAUCACCUUUUAGCUUACUUCAAGAGUACAAUAAUUGUUUCAAUAAGCAUUUAGACAAUCCGAAGAGAAAAAUUUCAAAAUAUGUCUUUCAAUGUUUAAAAUAAAGUCCUAAAUUACAUAUAAGACACCAUCUUUUCUUUUAAAAGUAAGACAGCAGCUUAAACUUGUAAGAGUUGUUUCUUUAAAAAAACAAUGGUGGUAUAUAGGAUAAUAUAUUUAAUUUAUAUUACAUGAUUGAAAUAUUUGUUUCCGUUAUAUGAUUGAGAUGAUAUUUUUAGAAGCAAAAAAAAAAUCAAGAAACUGGUGUGACAUGUGGAGAAGAUGGUUUUGUCUUUCUUCUUUGUCAUGAGAGGCGAGCAGUUCUUUGUCUGUAAGUUCAACGAGAGACAUAUGCACGAUGUCGUUCUCAGUCCCACUGUUAUCCCCUCUCCAAACAGUGAUUUUUUCUUGCUUUUAUUAUCUUUUCUUAACACGACCAGCAAUAAUGUAUCACUGU